rnacentral:rRNA from 1 species
CGUACUCCUACGGGAGGCAGCAGUGGGGAAUAUUGCACAAUGGGCGCAAGCCUGAUGCAGCCAUGCCGCGUGUAUGAAGAAGGCCUUCGGGUUGUAAAGUACUUUCAGCGGGGAGGAAGGCAAUACGGUUAAUAACCGUGUUGAUUGACGUUACCCGCAGAAGAAGCACCGGCUAACUCCGUGCCAGCAGCCGCGGUAAUACGGAGGGUGCAAGCGUUAAUCGGAAUUACUGGGCGUAAAGCGCACGCAGGCGGUCUGUCAAGUCGGAUGUGAAAUCCCCGGGCUCAACCUGGGAACUGCAUUCGAAACUGGCAGGCUUGAGUCUUGUAGAGGGGGGUAGAAUUCCAGGUGUAGCGGUGAAAUGCGUAGAGAUCUGGAGGAAUACCGGUGGCGAAGGCGGCCCCCUGGACAAAGACUGACGCUCAGGUGCGAAAGCGUGGGGAGCAAACAGGAUUAGAUACCCUUGUAGUCCCAUGAU